ACGCUCGACACCUACGGAGGCAGCAGUGGGGAAUAUUGCACAAUGGGGGAAACCCUGAUGCAGCGACGCCGCGUGAGUGAAGAAGUAUUUCGGUAUGUAAAGCUCUAUCAGCAGGGAAGAAGAUGACGGUACCUGAGUAAGAAGCCCCGGCUAACUACGUGCCAGCAGCCGCGGUAAUCUGAGCGGGCUGGCAAGGC
rnacentral:rRNA from 1 species